rnacentral:rRNA from 1 species
CGUUCCCGGGCCUUGUACACACCGCCCGUCACACCAUGGGAGUUGGACCUACCUUAAGACGGUGCGCCAACCGCAAGGGGGCAGCCGGCCACGGUAGGUUUAGCGACUGGGGUG